rnacentral:ncRNA from 1 species
AUUCUCGAACCGGGACAUGGUGGUGGACGACAAUGUUAGGAAAUAUGGAGAUGUCACCGGGGGCCUGGGAAGAGUUAUCUUUUCUUUUUAACGACUUUCCCACCCUGAAAUCAGUUCAACCGAAGAUAGGGUCCAACAUAUGGAAGAGCACCACACGUCUUGUGGUGUUUGGUGCCCCAUCGAUGACCAUUGAAAAUAUGGAGAAUUGAGUACCAUCCAUGCUCGAUCAUACUCAUAUCUGCCUCCUUGG